rnacentral:lncRNA from 1 species
AGGUCAUGGCCUGGAAAGGCGUAUGUGCGUAAGUAGUAUUUUGGGGAACUCACUAAGCAUUUAUGCUUACAGUUGUUGUGUUAUGUGUUUCAGGUACUAGCGAGGACCGUGGGAAGGCGCCGGCGUGAUCUGUACACACUGAUGGAGGAUUUAUGAUCUUGGGAUUUAUAUGAUUUGUAUUAUGAUAUGAUACAUUGGAUCUUUAUGACUUGUUUUGGAUGAAAACAUGUUUUUAAGAAAUGAAAAUUUUGUUUUGAAAAUUUACGUUGUUACAAGUUGGUAUCAGAGCCUUGGUUUGAGGGAUUCGGGUGCACCUUCGGGCGUAACUGAACUCAAACCGAGGAUUUGAGAAAAAAUUUCAAAAAAAUAAAAAUAAAUAAAAGUAUGAAAUUUUAUAAGGGAUUUUGUGAUAACCAAGGAUGAAGCAGUGUGUACGGUCAGCCAGUGCCCGAACGGUAAAAUCCCCAAAAUACCCUUACAAUAUGUGUUAUGAGAUAUGUUAUGAUAUGUUAUGCAUGCUAGAGUAGACUAGGUAUUCAUAUUAGGACUAGAGUGGCCUGAUUUGUGAUGCCUUAGUCUAGGGGAAAUCUGCUGCUAUGAGAUGCUUUGAGAGCGAGUAGGUAACCAGUGCAUAGCAAGAAUAGAGUACUCGUGAUCCGGGGUCCAAGGAGGAGGACUUGGGGUGAACGCUGAUGCGGUGUAGUCAGUAGUAUAGGGCCCGUACUACUGAAGACACCGGAUCAGUGGGCAGUCCAAGUAAGAAUCCUUUGGGUAUCGGAGGUCGAGUAGGGUUGCGUUAUCGAGUGCGAGUAUGCUCGAUUGGGUCUCUGAUAUUUUUAUGUUGUAUUUCAGAGGCAUCAUGGUUGGGACACGCCACAGACCUGGGACGAGCGGUGUGAGUGACGAGGAGCUUCGUCAGAUGAUCCACGAUGAGGUGGCUGCGGCAAUCCGGGCCGAGAUUCCGGAGAUGUUUGGGUCUAUCAAGACCACGCUGUUGGAGACUUUUGAUGAGCGGUACGCCGCGGUGACUGAGGCUGCGACCGCUGUAGCUACAGCAGUUGUGGCUGUUGCCACACCUCAGGGAGGUGACUCGUUGUUGUUCCGGGAGUUCAGCAACACGAAGCCACCCGAGUUUGAUGGGACGCAGGACCCGAUCGCUGCGAUGCGAUGGAUUGCUGACAUUGAGGGAUGCUUCUACACGUGUUCAUGUCCGGAGCAUCUGAGGGUGCGGUUCGCUUUGAACCAGCUCCGCCUGGGAGCAAAGGAUUGGUGGAAGUUCGUGACGGCGAACUUCACUCUUGAGGAGAUUUCAGCGGUGACUUGGGAGAAAUUCACCACCAUGUUCAGAGAUGAGUAUGUUCCCCCGGUGGAGAGGGAACGACUGGUUCAGGAGUUCUUGACCCUCAAGCAGGGUAAUGAUUCAGUUGCUGUGGUCACCCGGAAGUUUCAUGAGAGGGCGAUGUUCUGCCCUGAGCAGGUGUCUACUGAGCAGGCACGGAUGAGCCGAUAUUUGGGUAUACUGAGGAGGGACAUUCGGGAGUUCGUAUCGAACUCGACAUACCGGACAUUUGCUGAGCUCCAGGCAAAUGCCCGGAAGAGGGAGAUCGAGUUGGAGACCCAGGCCAGGGAGGAGGCCAAGUCUCAACGGGUGGAUCGGGGGCCGGCUCAGUCCCAGCCGGCAGCAAAGCGGACCAAGUCCACCGAUUCGAGGACAGGAGGUCAGAAGGGCCGCACUUGCAGAAACUAGGGCAAGGGUCAUGAGGGGGCUUGUCGAUCAGGUGCUUGCUACAAAUGUGGCAAGGAGGGGCACAUAGCUAGGGAUUGCCCCAAGGGAUUUAUGGUUUGCUUCCAUUGCAACCAGACCGGCCAUCGGAAGGCCGAGUGUCCUCAGCUUCUCCAGGGAUCUGCGCCUGCUGCUAGGGCUACUGAGACUCGACUAGUGAAGGUCGAGGCCCCGAGGGCUCGUGGGAGAGCUUUUCAGUUAACUGUGGAGGAGGUGCGCACGGCGCCUGAUGUCGUGGCUGGUAUGUAUUCUUUCGUGUAUUUAUUUUUAUGCUAAGAUGUUGUGCUUAUUUUAUGAUAUGCGUAAGGUACUUUUCUUGUGAAUUCUGUACCUGCCUUGGUAUUAUUUGACUCGGGUGUGAGUCGGUCUUUUGUAGCUCUGGCUUUUAGUCAGCACCUCGGUAUUGAUCGAGAGGUGAUAAGUCGACCUCUUAGAGUUUCCAUAGCUGAUGAGAAAGCGGUAUAUGCCACCGACAUGAUUCGAGGAUGUGUGCUCGAGAUUUUUGGUGUCAAUUUCCCUAUAGACCUAGUUCCUAUCGCUAUGGGAGAUGUCUGUGUCAUCGUGGGCAUGGACUGGUUGAGUAAGUUUGGAGCGGUCAUUGACUGCGAGAAACAGCUGGUGACUAUGCGAGACCCUAGUGGGGGAGUGCUUACUGUGUAUGGCGAGGGGACCCGGUGUGGGUCAGCGUUUUGUUCGGCUGCCAGGGCGAGGCAGAGUUUGCAGCAGGGCUGCAGUGGAUUCAUAGCCUAUGUGAUGGACGCACGAGUGGCCACUGGGAGGCCAAGUUCAGUUGACGAGGUUCCGGUAGUGCGCGAGUUCCCGGAUGUUUUUCCCGAGGAACUGUCAGGCGUGCCUCCGGAAAGACAAGUGGAGUUCCGUAUUGAUUUGAUUCCGGGAGCAGCACCUAUCGCCAAGGCGCCUUAUCGCCUUGCGCCGCCAGAGAUGCAGGAGUUAUCCUCGCAGCUUCAGGAGCUGUUGGGGAAGGGGUUUAUUCGACCGAGUAGCUCGCCUUGGGGAGCACCGAUUCUUUUUGUCAAGAAGAAAGAUGGUUCACACCGGAGGUGUAUCGAUUACCGGGAGUUGAACAAGUUGACGGUCAAGAACCGGUAUCCGUUACCUAGGAUCGAUGAUCUGUUCGAUCAGUUGCAGGGGGCAUCUUGGUUCUCCAAGAUAGACUUGAGGUCGGGUUAUCAUCAGAUGAGGGUUCGGGAUGAAGAUAUCCAGAAGACUGCAUUCAGAACUCGUUAUGGACAUUACGAGUUUGUGGUGAUGCCUUUUGGGCUCACCAAUGCCCCAGCUGCGUUCAUGGAUCUCAUGAACAGGGUGUGCAGGCCGAUGCUGGAUCGGUCGGUGAUCGUAUUCAUUGAUGAUAUUUUGGUAUAUUCGAGGUCUAGAGAGCAGCAUGAGGAGCAUUUGAGGGAGAUCCUUGGAGUUCUGAGAUCAGAGAGGUUGUAUGCCAAAUUCUCCAAGUGUGAGUUUUGGUUACGAGAGGUCCAGUUCCUAGGACACCUUGUUAACCAGAAAGGGAUAUUGGUCGAUCCGGCAAAGAUUUAGGCAGUGAUGAGAUGGGAGGUGCCAAGAUCACCCACAGAGAUCAGGAGCUUUCUGGGAUUGGCCGGCUAUUAUCGGAGGUUUAUUAGGGAUUUCUCCAAGAUCGUCGUGCCACUUACCAAGAUGACCCGGAAGGGUGUUGCAUUUUCUUGGGGUCCGGAGCAGCAGUCCUCAUUUGAGACCCUUCGUCAGAAGUUGUGCGAGGUCCCGGUGCUCGCACUCCCGGAAGGGAUGGAGGAUUUUGUGGUAUAUUAUGAUGCAUCCAUAUCUGGGUUAGGGGCUGUGCUUAUGCAGAGGGGGCACGUUAUAGCGUAUGCAUCGAGGCAGCUGAAGCCUCAUGAGUCGAGAUAUCCCACCCACGAUUUGGAGUUGGGGGCUGUGGUGUUUGCCCUCAAGAUCUGGCGGCACUAUCUAUAUGAGGUUCGGUGUACCAUAUACACGGAUCACAAGAGUCUGAAGUACUUGAUGGAACAGCCAAACCUGAAUAAGCGCCAGAGGAUAUGGUUGGAUGUGGUGAAGGAUGAUGAUUCCGAGAUCCCGUAUCACCCGGGCAAGGCUAAUGUCGUAGCCGACGCGUUGAGCCGUAGGUCAGAGAGCGCCCCGAUCCAAGACAUUUGUAUGAGGUUGACGGUGAUGACUCCGGUAUUGGACACCAUCAGAGGGGCCUAGGCUGAGGCUGAAAGACCAGAGAACCAAAAGCGGGAGCGUGUUGGGCAGGUGUCAGAGUUCGUUACCGAUAGUCGGGGACUUAUGACAUUUCAGGGUCGGAUUUGGGUACCAUUUGUGGGCGGGACGCGUACCAUUUUGAUGGAGGAGGCACGUCGAUCGAAGUUCUCGAUCCAUCCCAGGGCUACUAAGAUGUAUUUGGACCUAAAGAAGGAGUAUUGGUGGCCCUGUAGGAAGAGGGAUGUUGCAUGGUUCGUCGAGAGGUGCCUAACUUGUCGCCAAGUUAAGGCCGAGCACCAGCGUCCGCAUGGUAAGCUGCAACCGCUGGAGAUUCCCGAGUGGAAGUGGGAACAGAUUACCAUGGAUUUUAUCACCAAAUUGCCAAGGACUGCGAGAGGAGUCGAUGCAAUUUGGGUGAUUGUGGACAGGUUGACGAAGAGCGCUCAUUUUCUUGCUAUCAGUGAGAGUUCUUCUGCUGAGAGGUUGGCAGUGUUGUAUGUGAGGGAGGUGGUAUCGCGGCAUGGGGUUCCGAUGUCGAUUGUUUCAGAUCGAGACGUGCGAUUUACUUCCAAAUUUUGGAAGAAGUUUCAUGAGGAGUUGGGUACAAGGCUGCAUUUCAGUACUGCACACCACCCACAGACGGACGGGCAUAGUGAGCGGACGAUUCAGACGCUCGAGGAUAUGCUCCGAGCAUGUGUUUUGGAUUUUGGAGGGAGUUGGGACACCUAUUUACCCUUGGCAGAGUUUUCGUACAACAACAACCAUCAUUCGAGCAUUGGUAUGCCACCCUUUGAGCUGUUGUAUGGGAGGAGGUGUCGAACCCCCAUCUGCUGGGGAGAGGUGGGGCAUCGGGUAAUGGGUAGUACGAAGAUUGUGCUUCAGACGACAGAGCAGAUAUAGCAGGUCAGGCAGAGAUUGUUGACCGCUCCGAGUCGCCAGAAGAGCUAUGCGGACAGGCGUCGGUCCGAGCUCGAGUUUCAGGUUGGUGAUCUGGUACUCUUAAAAGUCUCUCCUUGGAAAGGAGUGAUUCAAUUCAGGAAGAGGGGCAAGUUGGGACCUCGAUACAUAGUGUAUUGCCGAUGAGUCGGCUAUGGUUCCAUUAGAGGAUAUUCAGGUGGAUGCGGGUCUGAACUAUGUUGAGAGACCAGUGGCAAUUAGGGAUCGAAAGGUUAAGGUUCUGAGGAACAAGGAAGUGCCCUUGGUGCAAGUGCAGUAGCAGCAUCAGAAGUGGUCCGAGCUGACGUGGGAGUCCGAGUAGGAGAUGCGGGAGCAGCAUCCAAAAUUGUUUUCGGUAUAAGACUUCGGGGACGAAGUCUGGUUCUAGUGGGGGAGAAUUGUAAGCCGAGAUUNCAGGUACAACCGAUUAGCCCUUCAUCUUUAUUUAUUUGUCAUUUUGGGCCUUUGUGUUGGGCGAGUACGUUGGGCGUACAAGGAGUACGCUGCGCGUACUCGCGCGCCUCAUUUAAACACGUCAUCGUCGGGUAUGCUGGGCGUACCCAAGGUUACGCCGGGCGUAAUCGGUCCAGACCCAAAAACCCUAAUUUGAGUUGUUGGCUAUAAAAGGAAUGAGAUGGCUUGGUUCCUCAGCCACCAUCCUUCAGAAAGAAACCCUAAGAGAGUUGUUCCUUCGUUCAUAGCUUGUUUGUGAGUGUUCUAAGCUUUGAGGUGUCAUUUCAAGGUAGCAAAAGGAAAGAGGAGUCCAUUGUGGAGGCUAGAAGUUGGUGUGCAAGUGUAGAUCCGUGAAAAGCAAAGGUUGGAGCUUCUUCCUAAGGUAAAAAGUUCAGAUCUUGCCUUGUAGUUCUUAUGGUAUGCUUCAUGGACCAAUUUCUAGGGUUUUGGUCCCAAAGAUGGAGACUUUAUGAGCAAGUAGUCUCCAUUGGCUUAGAUCUACCAUAUUCUAGGUCCAUUUGAGUUGUAUGUUCAUAAAAAAUGUGAUCUUGGACAUAUAUAUUUAGCCAUGCAUGAGAUCUAGAUCUUUGGAGUUGAAAAGGAAGAUAUUAGAGAGUGUAGGAACCUUUACAGCCAUGUCAAGGCUUAAAGGUUCCGACUUUAUGGAUUAGGAGGCUUAAGGAGAGCCAGAUCUAGAAGUUGAAGGAGUGUCUUAACCAUUUAAGACAAGAAAUAUGGUAUGGAUGAAUCUGGGAUUUACGCUGGGCGUAACUCCUAGUACGUGCAGCGUAAGGGGUUGCGACCCCCGAUUGUGACUCAUCGAUGUACGCCCCGCGUACAGAAGCUGGUACGCCCUGCGUACUGUGGUCAGUUGACUUUCGUUGACUUUUACGGUUUGGUCAACAUGAGUCAAGGAAGGGUAAAAUGGUCUUUUAGCCCUCUGUGGGAUAAUGAUAAGGGUGUAGCCUAGUCUUGAAAGUCUAUAUUAAUUAGAAUGAUAUUUCGUUAUGAUUAGGCGGGGUUGGGUCUUCGUUUCGAGAUUCGGAGAUAGCGAGCACGUGAGAUUCUAGACUUCCUGCGAGGUGAGUCUUCUCACUAUACUGUACCCGGAAGGGUAUUUAUGUGUGACCGAGAGGUCGGAUAUGUUAUGAGUUGUAUGCAUUGAAUAUGAUAAGUUAACCGUUUGUAUGUGCUAUGUAUGCUAUGCUUGAUAUGGGCCGGAAGGCAUUUUAUGUUAUGGGCCGGAAGACAUUGUGAUGUGGACCGGAAGGUCGACGUGGGUAGGACCGGAAGGUUUACCAGGUCGGGACGAAAGUCCCUUGAGACACAUGGACCGGAAGGUCAUGGCUUGGAAAGGCGUAUAUAUGUAAGUAGUAUUUUGGGGAACUCAUUAAGCAUUUAUGCUUAUAGUUGUUGUGUUAUGUGUUUCAGGAAGUAGCGAGGAUCAUGGGAAGGCGCCGGCGUGAUCUGUACACACUGAUGGAGGAUUUAUGAUCUUGGGAUUUAUAUGAUUUGUGUUAUGAUAUGAUACAUUGGAUCUUUAUGACUUGUUUUGGAUGAAAAC